ACCAGGCCUUCACUGUUACCAGGGCUGCAGGCCCCUGACCCCCGGGUCCAGCCUGGCCAGGGCCCAGCCCUAUGGGUGAGCUGGAGGUCACUGGGCUCCAGAGUCACGGAACCUGCAGUAAGACUGGCAGCGGCAGCCGCUCACGUGUGCCCUGGGUGAGUGUGUGCCCUGCACUCUGCCCUUGGACCCUCAGCUACAUCUUCACAUGGCACGGGGAGGAGGUGGUGCAGGGAGAAGGCCCCUCCUGCCCUAGAUCUCCACGUGGAAGUCCCAACCCUCCUGCAGUGGAAAAUGGGGCCCUAAGAAAGAAAUUAGGGUUAAGCGAGGUCAUAAGGGUGGCGCGGGGAUGAGGGAGAUGGCUGCCAUGUGUGGGGAGACACCUGCGAGCUCUCCCUGGCUCUGCUUGUGCGUGAAGAAGAGCUCACGGACACACAGGAAGAAGGCAGCCGUGUGCAGGACAGGUCUGCUGGCCCCUUGAUCGUGAACUUCCCCAAACUGAAGAAAAUAAAUGUCUCUGAGCUGCCA